rnacentral:rRNA from 1 species
CGACCCCAAGACAGGUGAGGUAACCCGCUGAGUUUAAGCAUAUAAAUAAGCGGA